rnacentral:rRNA from 1 species
AUACGGAGGGUGCAAGCGUUACUCGGAAUCACUGGGCGUAAAGCGCGCGCAGGCGGCUUGAUAAGUUGGAUGUGAAAGCCUACGGCUCAACCGUAGAACUGCAUCCAAAACUGUCAAGCUAGAGUCUUGGAGGGGAGGAUGGAAUUAGUUGUGUAGGGGUAAAAUCCGUAGAGAUAACUAGGAAUACCAAAAGCGAAGGCGAUCUUCUGGAACAGUACUGACGCUGAGGCGCGAAAGCGUGGGGAGCAAACAGGAUUAGAUACCCGAGUAGUCC